AGAUUGGGUCUGUUGUUUUAUCUGUUAAACAGUAAAAAUAAUGGUAGCAAAUCAUAGGUAUUGGUGGUGGGUGGUGGUGGAGGGUUUUGAUUUCAAUUUUUUUUUUCACUUUAUUAAUUGAAUUGUCAAAAUUGGAAUCAAAUCAUAGGUAUGGGUAGUGAUGGGUAGUGACGGGUGGUAUAAGGUGGUGGUGGUGGGUGGUGGUGUUGGAUAUUCAGUUUAUCAAUUUUAAAAACUAUGGGUUUGUUGUAAUUGAUCCUAAAUUUUCAUAUCUAGAAAAGUUUAUCACCACUCACUGCAUUCCAAAGAGAAUAUGAUAGUAAAGAGUUUAGAACAUAGCUAUAUAGUGAUAAGUAAAUGACAGUAAAGAGUUUAGGACAUUUGUUGUUGUUAGUUUUCUAUUUUCCCAUGUAUUACUGAAAAUAAUUUGCACCUGAUCACCACAUGCAACUUCAUAUCCUGGGUUUGAUAGCUCUUCUUGUGUAUUUAUCUGAAGUAAAAGAAAGUUUCAUCAUGAAUUGUGGUACAAUAAAGAUUCUACCACAGUUGCGCCAGUUGGACAGAAUCCUAAGGUUAGUAAAAAGUUGGCAUUCUUCCAAGUGCAAUUGGAUAUAUCGCAUCAGAUCUCGUAUGUCCUUAGAAGUUCGUAACCGAAGAACCCCCAAAGGAGAGCUUGACGUUCCAGAGCACAUCCUCAACUGAAUAAAAAGUUCCGGGAGCUGCAAAUAAGUAAAGUACAUUGGGAGUGUUAUUGUUGAUCCCCAAGCUGUGCACCUCGAUAAAGCAACAUACAGUUGGCCAUGGCUGAACAUGGGGGUCUGUAAAUCAAUUCCCACAUACUUUACAGAUUGUCCUUGAGAUUUAUUGAUUGUCAUCGCAUAAGCCACUCGUACUGGAAACUGACGCUUUGUCAUGUUUACGUUUAAUUCUGACGCUGAUGGUUUAAAUGAAAUUCUUGGUAGCAACACCUUUUCACCUGCUUUAUCUCCGGUUAAAAUUAUUCCCUGGAUCACAUGUUUACGGCAUUUGGUAACCAGUAACCUGGUACCAUUGCAAAGUCCCUCUGAAGGGGAGAGAUUUCUCAUCAAAAUAACUGGACAACCAACUUUUAGAUCUAACUUGAAUGGAGGCAUCCCUGGUGGGUUUAGAUUUUGAAGAUUUUCAUUAGAAUAAUCUGGAAUUCUUCCGCUUUCAUCUGGAUUUAAUUUAUCAGCAGCUAAAUAUGUAAAUGUCUUCCCUUUCAAAAUAUUCAGUGCUUCGAUGUUAAUCUUGUGAAGAUCAUCAUUGCGCGCUGAGAGAAUGAUUCUCUCAGUUAGUUGUUCGAGCGAUACUUGUUGAGAUGUUCCCAAACAUGGAUACAAUUUGGAUAUCAGCUCUUUUAUGUUUCCGCAUCUAUUCACCGGUGAUGGCAGUACUACUUUUUCUUCUUGCUUUGUUCCAACCUGAAAAAUUUGUUUAACCGAAUAUAAAUAUCUUUUCUGGCUGUACAGUUUGUAUGAUAUUUAAUUGGACUUUUUAAAUUAUUACCUCGAGCAAGAACUUAGCGAAA